rnacentral:rRNA from 1 species
GUGGGGAAUCUUGCGCAAUGGGCGAAAGCCUGACGCAGCCAUGCCGCGUGAAUGAUGAAGGUCUUAGGAUUGUAAAAUUCUUUCACCGGGGACGAUAAUGACGGUACCCGGAGAAGAAGCUCCGGCUAACUUCGUGCCAGCAGCCGCGGUAAUACGAAGGGGGCUAGCGUUGCUCGGAAUUACUGGGCGUAAAGGGCGCGUAGGCGGACAGCUUAGUCAGAGGUGAAAGCCCAGGGCUCAACCUUGGAAUUGCCUUUGAUACUGGCUGUCUUGAGUACGGGAGAGGUGAGUGGAACUCCGAGUGUAGAGGUGAAAUUCGUAGAUAUUCGGAAGAACACCAGUGGCGAAGGCGACUCACUGGCCCGUUACUGACGCUGAGGCGCGAAAGCGUGGGGAGCAAACAGGAUUAGAUAUCCGAGUAGUCC